rnacentral:lncRNA from 1 species
AUCACAGCCAUAUGUUUAUUAAUACAAUACACGUGGGGGCUUUUUUGACUAACUUCCUUGCUAAUAUAACAUCGGAAUGCGGUUCCUUCAGAUCUCCAAACCCAGAAUGUUGUUGCUAAAAUGAGAGUAAUUAAUUAUAGUUAAAAUUAAAAUUCAACAAUUAAUAAGAAUAAAUGAGUGCGUGCGGUAUAAGUAUAUAUUUUCUUCCGCAUGCCGUCCGUCCUCCUUCAUAUCCACCACAACCGAGUGUGAGAGAUGCAUCACAAAUGCAAUUUUGUUUUCCAAGUUUUUAUUAUUUGUAACCUGUGAUUAUUGUAUAAUUUUUAGUUAAUUAUAAAAGUUCCAUCGAAGUACA